UCUCCGUUGGUGAACCAGCGGAGGGAUCAUUACAGAGUUAUCUAACUCCCAAACCCAUGUGAACUUACCUUUGUUGCCUCGGCAGUAGUUGCUGGGCGAGCCUACCCGGGAAAUCCUGGGACGACUUACCCUGUAACGCCUGCCGGUGGACUACUAAACUCUUGUUAUUUUUAAGUAAUCUGAGCGUCUUAUUUUAAUAAGUCAAAACUUUCAACAACGGAUCUCUUGGUUCUG
rnacentral:misc_RNA from 1 species